rnacentral:rRNA from 1 species
CCUACGGGUGGCAGCAGUGGGGAAUAUUGCACAAUGGGGGAAACCCUGAUGCAGCGACGCCGCGUGAGUGAAGAAGUAUCUCGGUACGUAAAGCUCUAUCAGCAGGGAAGAACAUGACGUUACCUGACUAAGAAGCCCCGGCUAAAUACGUGCCAGCAGCCGCGGUCAUACGUAGGGGGCAAGCGUGCUCCGGAUUUACUGGGGGAAAGGGGAGCGUAGACGGCAGCACAAGUCUGGAGUGAAAUCCCGGGGCUUAACAACGGAACUGCUGUGGAAACUGUGCGGCUGGAGUGCAGGAGGGGUAAGCGGAAUUCCUAGUGUAGCGGUGAAAUGCGUAGAUAUGAGGAGGAACACCGGUGGCGAAGGCGGCUUACUGGACUGUAACUGACGUUGAGGCUCGAAAGCGUGGGGAGCAAACAGGAUUAGAUACCCCUGUAGUC